UUUCCAGUAUAUUUCAGGAUAACACUGGAUAAUGGCUUUUUGAAAUUGAAAAAAAAAUUUUGGAGCAACUGUAAACAGAAAUGCCAAAUUAUUGAUGGUUAUUUUUGCUGCUUCAUAUAGGUAUAAAAUUAAUGCAUAAGGAAGCCCAUUCUUUCAUGUUAAACAUGGGGUGGAGGAGGGGAGAAAGGGAACUUUUUCUUAAAAUGACAAUAAUUACUUCUAUUUUAAAAUUUCCUGAUGAUUGAAUGUGAGGCCCUUCUAACAUGAUUUGAGAAGCUGUAAAAGUAUAGGCAAGUUAUUUUCCUGUUUAUAUUUCUUGUUUGUUUGGAGAACAAUUGGUAGGUGUCUAAUGACUGUUUACUUCAUUGUUAUAUUGCAGUAAAAGAUUUAAAACAACCAUUGUAUGUUUGCUUUUGAUGUAACCCUUUGUGAAAUUAGCACUUUGGGGGCCAAUGAAGAAAUGCAGUGUUCACUCUCUUCCUCUCUGCCUUUCCUUAGCAGAAAUGUGCUUAUUAGCAAGCUAUAAGUCAAACUGCUGCCUUUAAAGAAAAAAUUCACAAAACUGAGUUCAAAAUUAAAGCAAGUGUUCCAAAACUUGGUCUCUGAUAUUUGUAAAACUUUUUCUUCCUCUAUUAAAUAAGAAUAUGUUACCAUUAAAGUCGUUAGUAUUAUAUUGUUUUCAGAAAGACACAAUGGACAACUAUAAUCCAGCAUCUUAAUGCAUUGAAACUUUUUAGAAGGGUUGGGAAAUGUGGCUGGAAAGGUUCUUUGGAAAAUAUAUAAUCAAGGUACUUCAUGGCAUUUUAAAAAAGGAACGUCUUAAUAACAGUGUUGACCUCUAUUUGGAUAUUUUGAUCCUAGUU